rnacentral:rRNA from 1 species
GACGAACGCUGGCGGCGUGCUUAACACAUGCAAGUCGAACGGAAAGGCCUGUCCUUCCUUGUGUUGGACGGGUACUCGCGUGGCGAACGGUUGAGUAACACGUGAGUUAUCUGCCCCCAACUUGGGUAUAAGCCUGGGAAACUGGGUCUAAUUCCCGAUAGGACUGCAGGGUGUUGCCUGUGGUGGAAAACGAUUUUCUAGUGGUUGGGGAUGAGCUCGCGGCCUAUCAGCUUGUUGGUGGGGUAAUGGCCUACCAAGGCGGGGACGGGUAGCCGGCCUGAGAGGGUGGACGGGCACAUUGGGAAUGAGAUACGGCACAGACUCAGACGGGAGGCAGCAGUGGGGAAUAGAGCACAAUGGGCGGAAGACUGAUGCAGCGACGCAGCGUGGGGGAUGACGGGCUGCGGGUGGUAAACUCCUGUCGAGGGCGAGGAAGCCGCCUGGUUGGAAGGGUGGUGACGGUAGUGGUAGAAGAAGCACCGGCUAACUACGUG